AUAGAAAUAUAAAUGUUUAAUUUAAUUUAUUAAAAAAAAAAAUUUAAUUUUAAUUUUUUUUGUAUCAAAAUUAAAUAAAAUAAAAUUAUUAAAUAUAAAUUUUAUAAUUAAUAUUAAUUAUAAAUUUUUAAUAAAUUUAAUGUGGAAAAAUUAUUUUAAAUAAAUUUAUAGAAUAGAAAUUUUAAUCAAUUAUUAAUAAAUAAUUUUAUAUUAGUUUAAUUAAAUUAAUAAUUUAUUUUUUUAUCAAAAAAUAAAUUAUUUAUUUAUAAAGAUAAGUUUAUAAAUAAAAUAAAUUAUAGAAAAAUUAUUUUUAAUAUUUUUUAUAAUUAGUAAUUUUAAUAUAAAAUUUAUUUAUAAUUUUAUAUUAUUUAUAAUUUAAUUAUUAAUUAUUUUAUUUAAUAUAAUAAUAAAUUUAAUUUUUUUUUUUAUUUAAUUUUAUUUAAAUUAGUAAUUAAAAUUAAAUUAAUUAAAUGAAUUAGACAAAUUAAUUUUUAUUUGUUUAAUAAAAACAUAAUUUAAAGAUAAAUAAUUUUAAAUAUAUUCUGCUCAAUGAAAAAUAAAUUUUAAAUAGCUGCAGUAUAUUAACUGUACAAAGGUAGCAUAAUAAUUUGUAUUUUAAUUGAAUAAUAGAAUGAAUGAAUAAAUAAAAAAUUUAUUUUAUUUAAUUAAAUUAAUGAAUUUAAUUUUUUAGUAAAAAAGCUAAAUUAAUUUUAAAAGACAAAAAGACCCUAAAAAUUUUAUAUAUUUAAUUACUAUAUUUAUUUGGGGUAAAUUUAAUAGAAUAAUUUAUUAUUCAAUUUAAUUAAAAAUUUUAUUAAAAAAUUACUUUAGGGAUAACAGGAUAAUUAAGUUUAAUAGAUUAAAUUAAAAAUUUAGAUUAUUACCUCGAUGUUGAAUUAAUUUAACUUAUUAAAAUAGAAAUUAAUAUAGUAAGUUUGUUCAACUUUUAAAUUUUUACAUGAUUUGAGUUAAGAUCGAUGUAAAUUAGAUUGGUUUUUAUCUUUAAUAUUAAAAAUUAAAUUUAGUACGAAAGGAUUUAUUUAAUUUUUUAAAUAU
rnacentral:rRNA from 1 species